GAUUUCAACUGAAAAAGUCAUCAACAACAAAGUUGUAUAACUCAUCAAGAUAUAUAACUUUUAUUUUGGUCAUUUCUUCAUCCGACAAAGUGUUAGUAACAUUGUUUACAAAAAUUACAUAUAUGUGUUAUAGUUUAUAAAACUAGAUGAGAGAUAUGUGAAUUCUGUGAACAAUGUUACUAUCACUUUGUCGGAUGAAGAAAUGACCAAAAUAAAAGUUAUAGAUCUUGAUGAGUUAUACAACUUUGUUGUUGAUGACUUUUUCAGUUGAAAUC
rnacentral:pre_miRNA from 1 species